UGUGGAAUUACUGUGUUACAUGGUAACUUUAUGUUUACCAUUUUAAGGAACCAACAAAAUAUUUUCCAAAUUGACAGAUCCAUUUUACAUUCCCAUCAGCAAU
rnacentral:pre_miRNA from 1 species